rnacentral:tRNA from 1 species
AGCGAGGGCGAACCCCUCACCAAACCGAGCGAAUCGGUAGCUUCCGACCCGAGACCGACGUAGUCGCGAAGCCUCUGAGUUAGUCCAGAGGUCGCAGGUUCAAAUCCUGCCCCCGCUACCA